rnacentral:lncRNA from 1 species
GAUCUCCCUUCUUUGCACCCCGAUCUCUCUUCUUCGCAACGUGAUUGGUGGUGGCCAUGACUCUCCCUCCUUCGCACACUAGAUUGAGAACCAUACUUCACGCCAUUGUGAACCCCUAAAAACCCUAAUCACACUCGUAUCCUUCACUGGCAAAAUAUCCAUUGUUUUUCCUUUUUCGAAUCAUUGUAGAGAGAAAAGAUGUCAAUUAGUUUGAUGAGACAAAGCUAGUUGAUUUUGAAGGUGUUUAUGUUUGAAGAUCACGUGUUCGAUGAAAUGCCUAAAUGAAAAUUGAUCAAUCCUGAUUUUCAGAGGAUGAUAGUCAUGGCGAUUUCCAAACCAUCAUGGUCACGGUCUAGGAUGAAACAAUGCUUUCAUGGCAGACGUCGGGCCAUUCACUGUUUCGGUAAAGAAUGAAUUCAUAUUUGGUUUUUAAUUACUCCUCUCAAAGGAAAUUGGCUGAGCAAUACCAAAACGUUUUUUGAGGGACAAGCUUCGAUCAGUAGAGCUUCCUGGAGUCGUAGCUUGGCGUGGAAAGUUGGUGAUAAACACCCAGGUUUUUAAUUAUUGUACUCUUCUUAUAUCUUAUUUAUAGGCAGAUAUGUAGUGGUUCUUGACGAUGGCGUGUUCGGGAGUAACGAAACUAGGCGACGGACAAGAGUUAAAUGGUAUCCCGUACCCGACAUGUUCUAGUGGUGAUGCUUCCAGUGAAAAAGGGUGACAGUGGUAGUUGAUGACGACUUUCUUCAUAGUCAAGCAAUAGAUCCAAGGUACAAUGUCUUGUUCCAACCAAAUCACAAAUGCUAAGGUGUAAGCUGUUGUUGAUAGGUAAAAAGUUUUAUUAACAAAAGGAGUACAAAACAUGAAUAUGGAGUUUGUUUCCUUUGCUUCGUUAGUGCAUUGAAAGGUCGGAGAUGAAGUUUUCCUCAAAAGCAUUCUAAACUCUACCGAGACUGUAGCAAGAGGAAGCGUCCAGAGCUUAAACCCAAAUGUUCUAGUUGGUGGUACAGAGAUUGGAAGAAUGGUGUGAGGUAAACGUUCAAGUACCAAUAAAAAAGGAUGAAAACUUUGUAAGACCAUAUGGUUUAUUUUCUACAAUUCAAGAUUGUAUUGGUGCAUCCAUCGCAUGGCCCUAUCCAUUCAUCUCGGUAGUCCAUGAGGAUUGAGGACGCAUGAUGACUCAAGAUUUUAUGUUUCUUAUUUCUUUAAUUGUUUUUAAUUUCUUUGUUAAAUGUUAAUACUUUAUGUUAGAUAAUGUUAUAAUUUAUUUAUGGUUAGUGUUUUUGUUAU